AAAAUUAAUUAUGUUUAUGUCUAUCUCGACAGGUACUUUCAUUAUAUCAUUUUAGUUGAUAUAUGAGUGUUUAAAAGAUAUAUUAUUUAAUAUACCCUCGCCAGUACGUUCAAAUUUAUGUAAAAUCUAAACACGAUAAACAAGGGAAAAA